CAGUCGCCGCGGGAAUACAGAGGGUGCGAGCGUUAAUCGGAUUUACUGGGCGUAAAGCGUGCGUAGGCGGCUUUUUAAGUCGGAUGUGAAAUCCCUGAGCUUAACUUAGGAAUUGCAUUCGAUACUGGGAAGCUAGAGUAUGGGAGAGGAUGGUAGAAUUCCAGGUGUAGCGGUGAAAUGCAUAGAGAUCUGGAGGAAUACCGAUGGCGAAGGCAGCCAUCUGGCCUAAUACUGACGCUGAGGUACGAAAGCAUGGGGAGCAAACAGGAUUAGAUACCCCAGUAGUCCCUGUCUCUUAUAC
rnacentral:rRNA from 1 species